UUAAAUAUCCAACUUGUCCAAUUGACAAUUUUUUUAUGUAUAAAAUUACAAUCAAAUCAAGAGAAAAAAUUGACAAUGUUCCCUCAAAGAGUCGGAGUUUUAGUUAACAAUAAUUCAAGAUUUCCAAGUUGUUGUGAAGAAAUUAUUCAAUUGGCAACAUAUAGUUCCUUGGGGGACACAUUAGCCAUCAAAACUUGAGAUAAUUCGAGGUAAAUUGCAUUUAGUCUUUGAAUUUUUUGUAAUGUUCCAUUUAAAAAAAAAGAUUACUACUAUAUAAAAAACACAAGCUUGUUGGAAUCGUAGAAUGUCAGUUUCUUGGUUGUUAGACACGCAACUCAAACGUGUCGCCGCACGAAAGGCAGAUAGAAUUUGGGACCAUUUACAGGGAAUAAGACGACCCAACGAGAACCGAC
rnacentral:lncRNA from 1 species